rnacentral:rRNA from 1 species
GAUGAACGCUGGCGGCGUGCCUAACACAUGCAAGUCGAACGGAGCUGCUUUGAUGAAGUUCUCGGAUGGAUUUAAAACAGCUUAGUGGCGGACGGGUGAGUAACGCGUGGGUAACCUGCCUCACACUGGGGGAUAACAGUUAGAAAUAGCUGCUAAUACCGCAUAAGCGCACAGUUCCGCAUGGAACAGUGUGAAAAACUCCGGUGGUGUGAGAUGGACCCGCGUCUGAUUAGCUAGUUGGCGGGGUAACGGCCCACCAAAGCGACGAUCAGUAGCCGGCCUGAGAGGGUGAACGGCCACAUUGGGACUGAGACACGGCCCAAACUCCUACGGGAGGCAGCAGUGGGGAAUAUUGCACAAUGGGGGAAACCCUGAUGCAGCGACGCCGCGUGAGUGAAGAAGUAUUUCGGUAUGUAAAGCUCUAUCAGCAGGGAAGAAAGUGACGGUACCUGAAUAAGAAGCCCCGGCUAACUACGUGCCAGCCGCCGCCGUAA